rfam:Citreicella sp. SE45 genomic scaffold scf_1113211290437, whole genome shotgun sequence.
GGCCACCUGCAGGCAGCCUGUCCCCGCGACAGCAGACCGAGGGGGCUGUAACAUAGGGUGGAUUCUCCACCCGUCUGCAAACGGAAGACAGAAG